rnacentral:rRNA from 1 species
CGCCUGUUUAACAAAAACAUGUCUUUUUGAAUUUUUUUUAAAGUCUGACCUGCCCACUGAAAUAUUUUAAAUGGCCGCAGUAUACUAACUGUGCAAAGGUAGCAUAAUCAUUAGUCUUUUAAUUGAAGGCUGGUAUGAAUGGUUGGACGAAAUAUUAACUGUUUCAUGAAAAUUUAUAAUAGAAUUUUAUUUUUUAGUCAAAAAGCUAAAAUUUAUUUAAAAGACGAGAAGACCCUAUAAAUCUUUAUAUUUAUAUUAUUAUAAUUUUGUAGAUUUUUUUUAUUAUAAUAAUAGAUUAUAUUUUAUUGGGGUGAUAUUAAAAUUUAAUAAACUUUUAAUUUUUUAAAUCAUUAAUUUAUGAAUAAUUGAUCCGUUAUUAGCGAUUAAAAAAACAAGUUACUUUAGGGAUAACAGCGUAAUUUUUUUGGAGAGAACAUAUCGAUAAAAAAGAUUGCGACCUCGAUGUUGGAUUAAGAUAUAAUUUUAGGUGUAGCCGCUUAAAUUUUAAGUCUGUCCGACUUUUAAAUUCUUACGUGAUCUGAGUUCAGACCGG